UCCCUAGUAGCUCAGACAGUAAAGCAUCUGCCUGCAAUGCAGGAGACUCAGGUUUGAUCCAUGGGUCGGGAA
rnacentral:tRNA from 1 species